rnacentral:rRNA from 1 species
AACGACUCUCGGCAACGGAUAUCUCGGCUCACGCAUCGAUGAAGAACGUAGCAAAAUGCGAUACUUGGUGUGAAUUGCAGAAUCCCGUGAACCAUCGAGUUUUUGAACGCAAGUUGCGCCCGAAGCCAUUUGGCCGAGGGCACGCCUGCCUGGGCGUCACGCA